UGCAUCUGCAAUGGGAGAAGAACGAGCAUUGGGGCUCAGUAAAUAACUCGGUGACAUCAUCCCAUCAUUAUGAUACGGUGUCCCAGAAAUAGGCGAGCGGGAUGGUGUCAUGCCGAAGUCCAAACCAUCCAUGUAACUCGGAAGGUGCAGCUCAAUUGCAUGUUGCAGCAUCUGAUCAUUCAGAAACAAACCACACUCUCCCGUUCCGAUCGGUGCAAGCUGACCAAGAAUAAUAUUCUCGGUAACCCCUCUUAGAUGAUCUGCUUCAGCAUAUACCGCAGCAUCCAGAAGAAUGUCCACGGUUUCUUCAAAUGAACAUCUCAUCAUCGG
rnacentral:misc_RNA from 1 species